rnacentral:rRNA from 1 species
AACGAACGCUGGCGGCAUGCCUAACACAUGCAAGUCGAACGAAGUCUUCGGACUUAGUGGCGCACGGGUGCGUAACGCGUGGGAAUCUGCCCUUGGGUGCGGAAUAACUUCUCGAAAGGGAUGCUAAUACCGCAUAAUGUCGUAAGACUAAAGAUUUAUCGCCCAAGGAUGAGCCCGCGUAAGAUUAGCUAGUUGGUGGGGUAAAAGCCUACCAAGGCGACGAUCUUUAGCUGGUCUGAGAGGAUGAUCAGCCACACUGGGACUGAGACACGGCCCAGACUCCUACGGGAGGCAGCAGUGGGGAAUAUUGGACAAUGGGCAAAGCCUGAUCCAGCAAUGCCGCGUGAGUGAUGAA